UCUGUUUUUAAGUCUCGGAGAACGCGGUAGAACCGAGCGGUCGGAAGUUCGAGCCGAGCGUAGCGAGACAACGUUGCUUCAGCAACGGCCCGAAGGGCUAGGCGUUAGCCGAGUCAUCUUCCUGGGUGCACCA
rnacentral:sRNA from 1 species